ACGGGAGGCAGCAGUGGGGGAUAUUGGGCAAUGGGCGCAAGCCUGACCCAGCAACGCCGCGUGAAGGAUGAAGGUCUUCGGAUUGUAAACUUCUUUGAUCAGGGACGAAUUUUGACGGUACCUGAAGAACGAGUCACGGCUAACUACGUGCCAGCAGCCGCGGUAAUACGUAGGUGACAAGCGUUAUCGGAUUUACUGGGUGUAAAGGGCGUGUAGGCGGUUUGGCAAGUCAGAAGUGAAAUUCCCGGGCUUAACUUGGGCGCUGCUUCUGAAACUGCUUAACUUGAGUACUGGAGAGGAUAGUGGAAUUCCUAGUGUAGCGGUAAAAUGCGCAGAUAUUAGGAGGAACACCGGUGGCGAAGGCGGCUAUCUGGACAGUAACUGACGCUGAGGCGCGAAAGCACGGGGAGCAAACAGGAUUAGAUACCCUGGUA
rnacentral:rRNA from 1 species